rnacentral:rRNA from 1 species
CCUACGGGAGGCAGCAGUGAGGAAUAUUGGUCAAUGGCCGAGAGUCUGAACCAGCCAAGUCGCGUGAAGGAAGACUGCCCUACGGGUUGUAAACCUCUUUUAUCGGGGAGUAAAGCUCGUCACGUGUACCUCUUUGUAUGUACCCUAUGCAAAAGGAUCGGCUAACUCCGUGCCAGCAGCCGCGGUAAUACGGAGGAUGCGGGCUUUAUCCGGGAUUAUUGGGUUUAAAGGGUGCGUAGGCGGAGGUUGAAGUCAGUCGUGAAAGUUUGGGGGUCAACCCCAGCAUUGCAGUUGAAACUGGAUGUCUUGAGUGCAGGAGAGGUAGGCGGAAUGCGUGGUGUAGCGGUGAAAUGCUUAGAGAUCACGAAGAACUCCGAUUGCGAAGGCAGCUUACCGGCGCGUAACUGACGCUGAUGCACGAAAGCGUGGGUAUCGAACAGGAUUAGAUACCCGAGUAGUC